AUUGAACGCUGGCGGCAGGCCUAACACAUGCAAGUCGAGCGAGCGGCGGACGGGUGAGUAAUGUCUGGGAAACUGCCUGAUGGAGGGGGAUAACUACUGGAAACGGUUGCUAAUACCGCAUACCAUCAGAUGUGCCCAGAUGGGAUUAGCUAGUAGGUGGGGUAAUGGCUCACCUAGUCGACGAUCCCUAGCUGGUCUGAGAGGAUGACCAGCCACACUGGAACGUAGACACGGUCCAGAGUCCUACGGGAGGCAGCAGUGGGGAAUAUUGCACAAUGGGCGAAAGCCUGAUGCAGCCAUGCCGCGUGUAGGAAGAAGGCCUUCGGUUUGUAAAAUACUUUCAGCGGGGAGGCGUUACCCGCAGAAGAAGCACCGGCUAACUCCGUGCCAGCAGCCGCGGUAAUAC
rnacentral:rRNA from 1 species